UGACUGGAGAGGUUCCUAUAAGGUGUCAGGAUGUCACCGUCUAUUUCUUCAUGGAGGAGUGGGAGUAUUUAGAAGGACACAAAGAUCUGUACAAGGACGUCAUCAUGGAAGAUCACCGGCCCCUCACCCCAACAGUUAAGGAAGAGAGAACAACACCCGAGAGAUGUCCCAGUCCUCUCCUUCUACAGGAUAAUUCAGAAGAACAUCACUAUGUUCCACAGGAUGAUCAG